CGCAGUUUAGCUGCAUCCAGCGAGAUACUAGUAGAACCCGAAACAUUGUUUUGACAAGUACUGUCACAUUUCGGUUGCAGGUUUUCACUAAAUACCAAGGUGAUGCGCUAUUAUUCCGUGUUUUUUUUUUCGCUAUCAACAGUACAGUCUGAGCAACCACAGUUUUAGCUAUAAAUAUUUUAGCGCCUCGUCUUGCAACUAGUAGUUGAUAUUCUAGGUUUUUAAUAUUUAUAAUUGGAAUCAACUGUCUGAGGUUAGUAAAGUUCAAGUACUUAAAAGCAUGAAUUAUACUGAUUUAAAAAUAAAAUCUAUUUUCGUUGAGUUUCAGGACGAAAAACUAGAUGGCGGUGAAGUGCAUUUUGAUAAAGAUCACGAAUGACAAGUAAAAUGCGUGUUAGUAUCGUCAUGGUAUAAUAACUAUUAUACCAUGGUAUCGUAAUAUAAUAGUAUCGUAAUGUAUUUUUUAUUAAUUUCACGGGAUGCUGAUUUGUGUGUGUGUUUUUGUUUAGGUAAUCAAUCAAUGCUAGCUGUUCUACAUACACUUGGUGAAUAAUGAUUCACUGAGAAAUCCAGUCUCACCUCUUCACCAGUCCAUCGUGGCACUUUUCAUUUCUGUGCAAGUGCCCUUCUAACUUUUGAUAUAGCAAGGUGGAGAGAAAACUGGGAUUUUUGAGUUGUUUGCUAUUGUCCCUUUUCUCGGUUUUUUUUUUAUUAUUAAACUUUUAAUCUUCUGCAAAAGGCAUGGAUUAAUCCUUGGAAGAAUUCCUUGUCGCACUAAAGUUCACAAAAUACAAAUCAGUGUAUAAUUGACAUUGUGACAAAUGAUGGGUAUGUAGCAUGAAGUUGUUGAUAUGGUUUUCUAAAAUCUGGUUUAUUUAGAUACAACAGAAGGUUAAGACUCACUACAUUGAACUCACUCCCCAAUAAAAUAAAAAUAACUACCUGUCAAAAUGUUGCCAACAGUUAUUCUUGAAGUCUUGAUUUUCUAUUGAAGAAAAGGUUCCCCUGUUUUGACCACAGCCUCUUUGGAUCAAGGUGUUGCUUGGCUUGCAAGAAUAUGAAAUGUAAUUGAACCAUGGAAUUGUAUGUAAUUGAUACGAAAUGUAAAACAGAAUAUCGUGAAGAAUUCAUGCCGUAAGGUGGAAAAGUGCUAUGCGGUGGACUCCUUAGUCAAUUUUUUUUUAAAUAUUGAUGAUACUUCAUUUUUCUAUUGCUUCAGAUAAAAAGCAUCAAUUCCAUCAAAUGUUAUGGGAGUCAUGUUUGCUUCUAAGGCCGAAAACCGAAACGAAACCAAUUAAAACAGAUAUGGCUACCUGAUAUUAGUGAUAUGUCAUGUCUAUACGGUCAAAAAGAAGUCUGAGUGCUCUUUAAAGGAAUUUUGCUGCACCGAGCUAGGACUUUUCCGGAGUGUAAAUUGUGAUUCCCCAUGGGUUUUCUUAAGAAGCCAGUUCACGUUGACGCAGUAAGAGCUUCUAAUUCUAUCCAAUCCAAUGCCAGAGUUCGUACGUUGUGGUACUUUUAACCAUUAUAUGCAUAAAUUCAAGUGCCCCCUGAUUUAAGUUUUCUUAUUCAUUCGUGAUUUCGUAUGCCAACCAACCAUGAAAGAUGUCAUGUAACUAUAUUUUCACGUGUCAGAAAAUUUUACGCAGAUAGAGAUACUGCAUUUUCGAAGAAAGCUACUUUCACAUCACCGUUGGUCGCUGCUUCGCCGCGAAGAUAAAAUAUUAACAUUUUUACAAAUUAAA
rnacentral:lncRNA from 1 species